rnacentral:lncRNA from 1 species
CGCUUCUCAAGUAUAAUCCAGUUCACAAGAAAAUCCCUGUGCUUGUACACAAUGGAAAGCCGGUUGCAGAGUCACUUGUCAUCCUGGAGUACAUUGAUGAGACCUGGAAACAUAAUCCCAUCUUGCCUACAGACCCUUAUGAGAAGGCCAUGGCACGGUUCUGGGCUAAGUACAUGGAUGACAAGGUAAACCCGAUACUAUAUUCCCUUUUUAAAAAAAAAAAAUUCAUUUGGAUCCUGACUACUAUUCAUUAUGCAGCUCUGGCCGGCAGCAACAAAGGUCGUGGUGAGUAAGGGAGAGGAGCAAAAGGCAGUGAUUGAAGAAAUCCAGGAGCAGCUGAAAACUCUAGAGAGUGAACUGAAAGAGAAGAAAUUCUUUGGAGGGGAGAGUUUGGGAUUUGUAGACAUAGCUGCAAACAUUAUAGUUUUUCUUCUUGUUGCCCAAGAAGCUCUGGGAUUAAUGGAGAUCCUGACCGAAGAGAAGUUUCCUGUUUUGCAUGAAUGGUAUCAAAGGCUUGUCGAUGAUGCUGUUUUCAAGGAAUGUGUGCCACCAAGGGAGCGACAUCUUGGCUUCUUCAAAGCUCGGUUUGGAUCCUCGACGGCUUCCAAAUGAAGAGUUGGUUUAUGUCUGUGCAUGAGUUGAUAGGGGAGGAACCUUGCUAGUUGCUUCUCAUAUAUGUGUUUCAGUUAUGUACUUUGAAGUUGUGUCAUGGACUUUACCCUGUUUCUGGGGAUGACAACUUAAAAAAUAAAUUGGAGUAGUAUUCUAUGUUCAUCUAAAUAAAAUUAAUCAUAUUGUUUCAUUAAGAGUGACAGAGAUUUAAAAUAUGUAUAUAUAUAUAUAUAUAUAUAUAUAUAUAUAUAUAUAUUAAAAAGACGUUGUAAUUUAUUUAUAAAAUAAUUAAAAAAAUAUUUUUAGAAUAUUAUUUUAAUUAGAAAUGAAAAACAGAAUGUUUUUGUUUACUUGUGGGCGUUUGAGCAAGGAAAAAGAUUUGACUUAUAGGUGAUGAUUCUAGAUUAGUUGAAAUACGGCUUUUCACUAUUUGAGGAAAAGAAAAUUGGCUUUUGGCUUGAAGGGUAAUUUUGAAAUUACAGGGAUACUAUUAUUAAAAAUUUAUUAUUUUAUUUAAAAAAAUGUAUGCUCCCUAUGAUACUUUUAAGAAAUACAAUUAAAUUUUAAAAUUAUCGUUUUGAUGUUUUUGAUGUGAUAAUAAGUUUUGUAAAUUUAGAAAUAAUUUCACAAAUUUUAAAUUUAAAUAAAUUGUAAUAAAGUGUUAAUAAAAUAUGAAUAAAUAAAUAAAACAAUUUUAUUUUACUCUUUGGUGUAUAAUAUUUUUGUACCCACAACUUUAGUGAAUUUGCAAAACAAUAAGAAAAUAUGUGAAACAAAAUAUUUUUUAUUAAAAUAUAAUAAUUGUGAGAAUACCAUAUUGGUAAUAAUUCUUUUAUAAAAUAAUAUUUUCUUAUCCUUCUUUCACUUUGAACACACUCCAAAAGGAAGGAAAAUAUUUUUUUAGUUUUGAAAGCUAAUUGAGGGCUUAAUUCGGGAAAGGUGAAAAACAUUUUUUUUUUUUUUCUUAUUUCUUGAAAUUUUUCUUCUUUAUGAAAUUUUUGUUUCAAAUCUAUGAAAAACAUAUCUAUUACUCUUUUACUAUUUCUUGAAAAUUUUCUUAUUUAUGAAUUUCUAUGUGGAGUCGAUCUUCCUUUCAUUAAAGGAAGUCGCCCUAUUAUCCAUAGAAUUAAGAAAUAAAAAAUUUGAAAUUCUUCAAGAUUUAGUUGUUUAAUUUAAAGAAUUUGUUUCAUUAAUUUUAACAACUUAUCUUCUUUAUUAAGGAAAUUUGCUAACAAAAAAAUAUUUAUUUUUAAUUCUCUUUUAAAUUUUGCAAUCUUUCAAAAUUUGUCACAUAUAUUAUUUAUCGAGUUCAAAUUUUGUUGAAUUGGGAAAUCACAAUUUUGAAAACCAAUUUAAUGAUAAUUUAAUUAAUUAAAAGUGUUGAUGUCUAUAAUUUCUUCUUAAUAAUUAAAUAUUUUAAUUUUAUUAUUUAUUAAAAUAAAAAAUCUUAAUAUAUUUAUAUUUUAUUUUUAUUAUGAUUUUAAAUAUAUAUUUUUUAAAUUUUAAUAAUGCUCAAAUAACCAUAUUUACCCAAAAUAUCGAUAAUUACGAAUAUAUCAAUACUUUAAUUAUAUUUAGAAAUAUCAGAGUUGAUAUUUUUUUACAAAUAUCAAUGGAGCGAAAAUUAUUUAAAAUUCACUAACAUCCUUGAAAAAACUAAAAAAAAAAUGAUAAAAUAAGCAAAAAUACACAUUUUUAAGUUUUUUUAAAGUAUAAUUGAUAUACAUAUUAUAAAAAAGAAAAACAUCGAUAGAUAGAAAUAUAUCAGUAGAUUUGAUAUUUGAAUUUUAAGAAUAAUAAAUAUGAAUUUUGGAAGUAUAUAAAGUUAGAAUUGAGUUAAAAAAUAUUUGAUUUUAUUGAAUAAAAAUAAUUUAUACAUAAAUAUAAUACAUAUGAUAUUGUAAUAGUCUUUAGUAUCAAAAUGAAUGGGGAUCUUGUUGAAAAUAAUAUUUAUUUAAAAAAAAUUUAAAUACUUUUAUUAAAACAUGUUUAAUUACAUUUUAAAUAAAAAAUUAAAUUAUUUUAUAUAAAAUAUUUUAUUUAAGAUUUAAUUUCUAAAAUUUUAUUAAAAAUAUGUGAUAACAACUUUUUCUAUUAAUAUUAAUUUAUUUAAAUAAUUAAAAUUAUUAAUAAUUUAUCUUAUCAAAUUAAUUUUAAUUUAUAAAAUAUUAAAACUUUCUUAACUUUCUUAAAUUUUUAUAUUAUAGCAAUUUUUUUGGGUAAAUUUAUAUUUUUAAUAUUUUAAAAUAAAAACAUUUAAAAUUAAAUAAAAUUGAAAGGAUGAAUAAAAAAAAUUUAAGAGUGAAGUGAUAAUAAUUUUUUAAAAUAAGAUUAAUGAGAUAAAUAUGAAAAAUGUUAAAAAUAAAAUUAUAAUACAAAAUAAAAUGAUAAUAUAAAAACAUAUAUGAAAUUUGGGCGAUUGAAUCGUCAAAAAUUCAAAUAUGAGAAUUUUCAAAAUUUUCAAAAAAGUGGUAGAAGGGGCAAUUUUUUUACGUUCUCCAUCUGCUCCGCGUGUCGCUUCGAGAAAUACCAAAAUAUUGGCGAUAGUUUCGAAAAAUUUCCGUGACGAAUAUUGUGUCGGAGCCGGCCGAUAAACGAUAUUUUCCCGAAAUUUUCCGACAUUUCAAUCCUUGCAAUUUAGCCCACUUAAAUAAUGCAAAGAGAUAAGAUUCCAAGGGAAAUAUCAAAUAUCACAUCACCGACAGCGAUAAGUGCCGUCUUCAAAGUCUUCAUUGUCUGGAUGCGUAGGCCAUGCCUCAAUGGACACGCAUUGGCUGAUGUCUACCACUUUGUCAGGCCCUCACCAGAUACAUUAUUGGUUCCCAAUCAUCCAUCCGAUCACACUCCAAACUAAAAUCUCGACAAAUCCAAGGGCCAGCACCGCGCCUGGUUUAUCAAGAAAACCUCUAUAGAUAAGAAGAGGGCAUACCAGUGGCAGCCUGAUCUCUUCAAGCUGCAACAAUGGCUGAAGAAGUGAAGCUGUUUGGCAUGUGGGCAAGCCCUUUUAGCCGCAGAAUUGAAGUGGCCCUCAAGCUGAAAGGGAUUCAGUAUGAGUAUAUAGAAGAGGACUUGUCCAACAAGAGUCCUUCGCUUCUCAAGUAUAACCCAGUCCAUAAGAAAAUCCCUGUGCUUUUGCAUAAGGGAAAGCCAGUUGCAGAGUCACUUGUAAUCCUGGAGUACAUUGAUGAGACCUGGAAACACAACCCCAUCUUGCCUGCAGACCCUUAUGAGAGGGCCAUGGCACGGUUCUGGGCUAAGUUCUUAGAUGAGAAGGUAAACCCAUUACUAUUUUUUUUUCCUUUUUUAUUUUAAAUUCACUUGGGUCCUGACUACUGUACAAUAUUAUGCAGCUCUGGCCGGCAGCAAAAAAGGUUGCGUUGAGUAAGGGAGAGGAGCAUAAUGGACUGAUUGAAGAAAUCCAGGAGCAUCUGAAAACUCUAGAGAGUGAGCUGAAAGAGAAGAAAUUCUUUGGAGGGGAGAGUUUGGGAUUUGUAGACAUAGCUGCAGACAUUAUAUUUUGGCUGCUUGUUGUCCAAGAAACUCUGGGACUCGAUAUCCUAACCGAAGAUAAGUUUCCCGGAUUGCAUGAAUGGUAUCAUAGGCUUCUUGAUGAUGCUGUUUUCAAGGAAUGUGUGUCAAUGGAGCGACUUCUUGCCUCUUUCAAAGUUCGGUUUGGAGCCUUGACUGCUUCCAAAUGAAGAGCGGGUUUAUUUGUGGAUGACUUCAUGGGAGAGGAAUCUUUCUUCUUGCACAUGUAUUUCAUAGUUAUGCAUUAUGAAGUAUUGUAAUGAACCUUGUCCUGUUUGUGGGAAUGAGAACUUAAAAAUAAGUUUGGAGAAGUAUUGCUCCAAAUGGCCUUAGGAAGAAGACUCAAACAUUGCCUCCUAAUUAAUAGGAAUUGAAUAUCCUAUGUUCAUCUACCUCUUGGUUAGAUUGAAUAAAGAUUUGGAUAUAGAAAUCCUUAUGACUGAGUCAUGGUUUGGUUCGGGGUUUAGUUCAGAGAUGAGAAUGUAAGUGGUAUGGGUAACAUUCAGCCUCAACUCCAUUCCUUUUAAGGUUUUCGAUUGGGUUUUCAUCCUCCCAUCAACGAAUGUAAAUCAAAUCUAAAAGUCAUUAUUUGAGGAAUUAUUUGGGUAAAUAAUCCCGACAGUCCAAUCAUCUCUCCCCAGCAUGAUGCUCCCCCAACAUUAUUGAAAUAUGUUUAACAUUUAUUAAAUGUUUAGUGAUGAAUUGGAGUGUGACAAUGAUGCUCUUUCCAAUAAAUAUUUCUCAAAAUUACCAUUUUUUUUUCAAAAAUCCUCCACCAACCCAUUAUAAAUGUAAGUAAUCAUACUAAAAUAAUAAUGCUAAUACAAUUGAAAUAAAAAAUAAAAUAUGAAUAAAUAAGUAACACAAUUUUAUUUUACUCUUUAGUCUAUAAUCUUUCUUCUUAAUAAUUAAAUAUUAUAAAUUUAUUAUUUAUUAAAAUAAAAAAUCUAAUAUAUUUAUAUUUUAUUUUUAUUGUGAUUUUAUAAUUCUUUUAAUUUUAGUAAUAUAUAAAUUAUAUAUUUAUAUUGUACAGUCAGUCACCUCGAUCCCACAUUUCAAGCAUAAACCAAUUAUUUAAAACAUAAUAUUGUUGGAUCAAAACAUCAAUUUUGAUCCAAAAUUCCUUUCUCCGAGAUUAACUGCCCAUGUGAAUGAUCUAAAGCGGUCAGGGAUAUAUCACGUGACCCAAAAAACGACAAAGGAAGGGACAGUGUCGACGGACAGUGCGGUGGCUCCUCUGCCAAAAAGUUGGUCACAGACUUUAAAAGGUAAGUUUUGGGGUAAAAUAACCCUUUUACAACAAAAAAAAACAAAAGAAUUUGGGAAACUGUGUUUUGACGGGCCAUUUGAAAAAUAUCUUAUUUUUGGAAUCCAAUUUUAUAAAAUAUGAUAACCAGAUUUUAAUAUGAAAAGUAAUAUUGCUUUUAUGCACUUUGACCUGGCUCCAUUUUUUUUGUCAAGAUUGCCCUCUGACGGCAAUGACCUCGACGGCAAUGGCUUUUGGCUUAGGUUUUUCGGUGUCGGAGGGGGCUUCCUUUUCGACUUUUUUCUUCAUGCUAGAGUGAGGAGUGAGGAGUGAGGAAGACGAAAGUGUCCUUGCCGUCGUUGUUGCUCCGGUGGAGGAAGUCGCAAAACUUCCACCGUUUUGAUGAUCAUGUGGAGUUGCUUUUCCUGCACCUUCCCGAUGGAGACUUCGCUACCUUGGGUUUCCACACACAGUACAUCCUCGACAGCACUCCCUCGAGCUCGUCGACCUCUGAUGACAAGGACACUCCAGGUCCAUUGCAGAUAAAAAAAAUAGGUUAUAGUGGUGACGAUGACAAUGGACUGAGUUGCGGCGACAAUAACCUUGACACAUCCAGAUUUUUCUCAAAUAUGAAAUAGAAUUUCAAUUGAAAAAUAUGCUUUUGAUAGAGGAGAGAGGAACGGCUUCGGAGGCCGACGAGCUCGAGGGAGUGCUAUCGGGGAUGUACUGUGUGUGGAAACCCAAGGCGGCGAAGUCUCCACCAAGAAGGUGCAGGAAAAACAACUCCACGGGAUCAUCGAAACGGUGGAAGUUCCGCAACUUUCUCCAUCGGAGCAACAGCGACGACAAGGACACUUUCGUCUUCCUCACUCCUCACUCCAGCAUGAAGAAAAAAGCCGAAAAGGAAGUCCCCUUGGGCGCUGAAAAACCUAAGUCAAAAGCCAUUACCGCCAAGGUCAUUGCCGCCGAAGGGCAUUCUUAGCACAAAAAAUGGAGCCAGCUCAAAGUGCAUAAAAGCAAUAUUACUUUCCAUAUUAAAAUUUGGUUCUCAUAUUUUAUAAAAUUGGGUUAUGAAAAUCAGAUAUUUUCCAAAUAGCCCCAUCAAAACACAAGUUUCCCAAAAAAAAUUAUAUAUAAGGUUAAGCCUUUUUACAAAAUUCAUGAUUUUAUUUUAAUUUUUUAAAAUUUAAGUUGAAACCUUGAUUAGAUUUCAGUUUUGGAUUGAAGCCGCAAUUAACAAUUAAGACUUCGUUUUUUAACUGAAGUUGUAAUUAGCAAUUGAUGCUUCAAUUUUUUUUCUUACUUUAAAAUUUAAUUUAAAAAUAUUAAAUUAAAAAUUAUUAUUAAAAUUAAAAAUAUAUAAUUUAAUAAUAAGAAAUUUAUAUACUUAAACUUAAAGAUUUAGUAUUACUUUAAUAAAGAUAAAUUGAUAAAUAUAAUAAUAAAUAAAUAUUUUAUUUAUCAAUAAAUUAAUAAUUUUAAAAUAAUAAAGUUAUAUGAGACAUAAAUAAUGUAUAAAUUUAUAUAAUUUAUUAAUUUAAUAUAUUAAAUUUAUUAUAUUUUUAAAAUAUAAAAUGAUAUAAUCUAUUAAUUUAAAUUACAUCACGUGUAGUACCUACUAAAAUCAUAGAGGGACAUUUUUUUCCAUUAUAUAUGAAAUAUUAAGAUUAUAUUAUUAUUUUAAUAAAGAUUAAUUUGUCAAAAUACAAAUAAAUUAAUAUCUUAAAAAUACAACAAAUUAAAUAUCUUAAAUUAAUAAAUUAUAUAAUUUAUAUCUUAUUUAUAUAUUAUAUAAUUUUAUUAUUUUAAGAUUAUUAAUUUAUUGAUAAAUAAAAUAUUUAUUUAUUAUUAUAUUUAACAAUUUAUAUAUUAGAUUGUUAUAUUUAAAUAUAUAACUUUUUUUUAUUAUUAAGUAUAUACUUUUAAUUUCAAUAAUAAUUUAUAAUUUAAUAUUUUUAAUUAAAAUUUAAAGUAAAAAAAAUUAACUGAAACCUUUAUUGAAAAUUGAGAUCUUAGUUAAAAAAUGAAAUCACAAUUAUCAAUUGUAACUUUAAUUUAAAAAUGAAAUCUCAAUUAACAAUUGAAAUUUCAACUUCAAAAUGAAGCCUCAAUUGAUAAUUGAAGUUUCAGUUUCAAAAUGAUGUCUCAGUUACUAAUUACUUUUUAAAAAUAAAGUAUCAUUUAACAAUUGAAACUUUAAUUUAAAUUUUGAUUAAAUAAAAUAAAAUAAAAUUAUGAUAUAUCUCUUAGUGAUGAUAAAAAGAUUAAUUUGAUCAUAAAGUUUUGCGGACGGGAUACACUAACAUUUCCUUUUAUAAAAGGGUUAUUUUGCACCCCCAAACUCUCAAAAGGCAUUGGCUGACGUCACCAAGUACAUUAUUGGGAUCCCAACCAGCCAUCCUAUCACACUCCACAUUAAAAUCUCCACAAAUCCAAGGUCCAGGACGGCACCUGGUUAAUCAAGAUUCAAGAUCAAGAAAACCACUAUAAAUAAGAAGAGAGCAUACCAAUGGCAGCCACAUCUCUUCAAUCAGCAACAAUGGCUGAAGAAGUGAAGCUUUUUGGCACGUGGGCAAGCCCCUUUAGCCGCAGAAUUGAAGUGGCCCUGAAGCUGAAAGGAGUUCAAUUUGAACAUAGCAGAGAACUUGUCCAGUAAGAGUCCUGCGCUUCUCACGUAUAAUCCAGUUCACAAGAAAAUCCCUGUGCUUGUACACAAUGGAAAGCCGGUUGCAGAGUCACUUGUCAUCCUGGAGUACAUUGAUGAGACCUGGAAACAUAAUCCCAUCUUGCCUACAGACCCUUAUGAGAAGGCCAUGGCACGGUUCUGGGCUAAGUACAUAGAUGACAAGGUAAACCCAAUAGUAUCUUCCUUUUUUAAAAAUUUUCAUUUGGGUCCCGACCACUAUUCGUUAGGCGGUUCUGGCCGGCAGCCAAAAAAGGUUGUGGUGAGUAAGGGAGAGGAGCAAAAGGGAGUGAUUGAAGAAAUCCAGGAGCAGCUGAAAACUCUAGAGAGUGAGCUGAAAGAGACGAAAUUCUUUGGAGGGGAGAGUUUGGGAUUUGUAGACAUAGCUGCAAACAUUUUAGUUUGGCUUCUUGUUGCCCAAGAAGCUCUGGGAUUUGUUGGAACUUUUACUAAUAAAACUAAAUUACCUACUUUUAUCUAGGAAUAUAUUAUUACCUUCAUUAUGAUUUUAACCCAGAUCUAACCUACUAUGUACCAUGAAUAUUCCCUCUCACAGCAAACACCUAGGAAACAACCAAAUAUCUUCUACUUUCAAGCCUACAGUUAUAUUAUACAUGUUAGGGUCAAACAAUGUACUAAAAUGGAUCUCCAAUGACAGUCUAGGAUUUAUAUAGUUUUUUACUAGUGUAAAAAAUUUUAAAUCCUUGAUGAAUGAUGCUUUUACUUCAUGUUUAGUAGACUCUUACUGUGGAUGAGAAUUAAUUAACUAAUCAUAUAUUAAGGUAUCGAAGUGGUAUUUAUCACACUCCCAAAUCCAUACCAUUGAAUAAAAGUCUAAAUACAUAAAACUUAGAUAUAUUUUAAUUUAUAAAGGAAAAAUGGUAAGAUAAUAAAAGUGGUACCUGUCGAACUACAUUCUAGAAUGUCAAAUUUAUAUCCAUGACCAUGAAUAAGGAUAUAAAUAAAUGGAAAUAAGGUACAGAAUACAAAUAAACGAAUCGAUGGUCUAUAUGUAUUUGGAUAGGUACUAUUUUGAUGGCUUAGCAAGAGUAGCUCGGAAAGUUCAAAAACGAAAAAAUGGUGGAUGGUAGACCCACAGCAAUACACCAACCGAUGAAUAUUUUUGAAAGACAUCGGGUCAAACUCGAGUUAUGAUGCAGAAUGGUCUGUGCAAUAUCGCUUCACCAGUAAACGGGUUUGUCCUCAAAUGAAAAAGGGAAGCCGAAAGCCAGUGAACAAAUUACACGAAAAAGUUUGUCCAAGACUCCCAAGGCUUCAAACGUUCCUUCGUCUGCAUAAUUCUUAGUGCACACGUAUUGGCUGACGUCUGGAAGCCUCUUGAUGGCGUCACCAUAUACAUCAAUGCUUCCCAAUCAGCCAUUCGACGACACUGACACGCUCCAAAGUCCAAACUAAGAUCUCGACAAAAGAAAAACCCCUAUAAAUCAGAAGAAAAUACGGCAAGGGAACCAUACCUCUCCAAACUGCAACAAUGGCUGAAGAAGUGAAGCUGUUUGGUGCAUGGGGAAGCCCCUAUAGCCGCAGAAUUGAAUUGGCCCUGAAGCUGAAAGGACUUCAAUUUGAAUACAUAGAAGAGAACUUGUACAAUAAGAGUCCUGCGCUUCUCAAGUAUAAUCCAGUUCACAAGAAAGUCCCUGUGCUCGUACACAAUGGAAAGCCGGUUGCAGAGUCACUUGUCAUCCUGGAGUACAUUGAUGAGACCUGGAAACACAACCCCUUCUUGCCUACAGACCCUUACGAAAAGGCCAAGGCACGGUUCUGGGCUAGGUUCAUAGAUGAGAAGGUAAAUCUAAUACUAUUUUGUUUUUCUUUUUUUAAAAAUCAUCUGGGUCUUGUCUCUUUAAGCAUUGGUAAACUUUAUAUGCAUUAUACAGUUCUGGCCGGCAGCAAAAAAGGCUAUGGCGAGUAGGGGAAGGGAGCGAGAGGAAGCGAUUGAAGAAGCUCAGCAGCAUCUGAAAACCCUUGAGAGUGAGCUGAAAGAGAAGAAAAUCUUUGGAAGGGAGAGUUUGGGAUUUGUAGACAUAGCUGCGCAUCUUUUGUUUUGGCUUGUUGUUGCCCAAGAAGCCUUUGGAGUGGAGAUCCUAACUGAGGAGAAGUUUCCCGCCGUGCAUGAAUUGUAUCAAAGGCUCGCAGAUGAGGCUGUUUUCAAGGAAUGUAUGCCACCAAAGGAGCAACUCAUUGCCUAUCUUAAAGUUCGGUUGGGAGCCUGGACUGCUUCCAAAUGAAGAGUUGGUUUAUGUACGUGUCUGAGUUGAUGGGAGAGGAACCUCUUUCUUCUCAUCUACGUAUGUCAAAGUCCUGUAUUUUGAAGUUGUAUCAUGAGCUUUGUCCCGUUUGUGGGUAUGAGAACUUAAAAAUAAAUUGGAGAAGUACUGCACUAAAUGGUACUACGAGGAAGAACACUCCAGCAUUGCUCCUUAAUAAUAGCAUUUCAAUUCUAUGUACAUCGACCUCUAGAUUAGAUUAAUAAAGAUUUGGAUAUAGAGAUGCUUAUGAAAGAGCAGCAUGGCUUGGUUCUGGUUCAGUUCAUGGAUAUGAGAGAAUGUAAGUGACGUUGAGCCUCAACUCUAAUGCUUUAAGGUUGUGUUUUGAAUUUAUGGCAUGGGAUGCUGAUGCUACUUCUAUAUUCUGCUUUGAAUCAUGGGUGUAUAUGGGCAUCACAAAACUAGAAGCUCCGUUUUGCUACAAAAUUUUCAAAACAUUCAAUGUUUCUAUGCCUAUUUUUUAAAAUAAUUGAUUAUAAACAUAUAAAAUAGUAAUUAACAAAAAUGCUCCUUUUACCAAUUUUUGUUUUUAUUCUAUCAUUCUUCCUAUGCUAUUAGGAGCAAAUUCUCUUUUAUUUAACCAUUUUAGGAUUUUUCAUUAUUUUUUAAACUCUUUUAUAAAUAAUUGAAAAAUCAAUAUUAUUUUCGGUUGGUUGCAGAGUCACUUGUCAUCCUGGAGUACAUUGAUGAGACCUGGAAACACAACCCCAUCUUGCCUACAGACCCUUACGAAAAGGCCUUGGCACGGUUCUGGGCUAGGUUCAUAGAUGAGAAGGUAAACCCAACACUAUUUUCCUUUUUCUUUUUUCUAAAAAAAAAAAAUAAAAUUCAUUUGGGUCCUGUCUCUUUAAGCAUUAAACUCCAUAUUCAUUAUGCAGUUCUGGGCGAUCUGGCCGGCAGUAAAAAAGGCUAUAGUGAGUAGGGAAAGGGAGCGAGAGGAAGCGAUUGAAGAAACUCGGCCGCAUCUGAAAACCCUUGAGAGUGGGCUGAAAGAGAGGAAAUUCGUUGGAGGAGAGAGUUUGGGAUUCGUAGAGCUGGCUGCAAACGUUAUAGUUUGGCUUUUUGUUGCCCAAGAAGUUCUGGGACUGCUAACCGAAGAGAAGUUUCCCACUGUGCAUGAAUGGUAUCAAAGGUUUGCUGAUGAUGCUGUUUUCAAGGAAUGUGCGCCACCAAGGGAGCUAUUCAUUGCCUAUUAUAAAGCUCUAUUUGGAGCCUCCACUGCUUCCAAAUGAAGAGUUGGUUUAUGUAUGAGUCUGAGUUGAUGGGAGAGGAACCUUUCUUCUCAUCUAUGUAUUU